UACGAAGGGGGCUAGCGUUGUUCGGAAUUACUGGGCGUAAAGCGCGCGCAGGCGGUUCUCCAAGUCAGUGGUGAAAGCCCGGAGCUCAACUCCGGAACUGCCAUUGAAACUGUUGAACUUUGAGGACGAGAGAGGUGAGUGGAAAUUCCCAGUGUAGAGGUGAAAUUCGUAGAUAUUGGGAAGAACACCAGUGGCGAAGGCGGCUCACUGGCUCGUAUCUGACGCUCAGGCGCGAUAGCGUGGGGGAUCAAAACAGG
rnacentral:rRNA from 1 species